UACGUAGGGUGCGAGCGUUAUCCGGAAUCAUUGGGCGUAAAGAGCUCGUAGGCGGUUCAGCAAGUCGGCUGUGAAAGUCCGAGGCUCAACCUCGGAAAUGCAGUCGAUACUGCUGUGACUCGAGUCCGGUAGAGGAGAAUGGAAUUCCCGGUGUAGCGGUGAAAUGCGCAGAUAUCGGGAGGAACACCAGUAGCGAAGGCGGUUCUCUGGGCCGGCACUGACGCUGAGGAGCGAAAGCGUGGGGAGCAAACAGG
rnacentral:rRNA from 1 species